AGAAUCAACGCUGGCGGCGUGCCUAACACAUGCAAGUCGCACGAGAAAAGGGAGCAAUCCCUGAGUAAAGUGGCGCACGGGUGAGUAACACGUGAAUCAUCUACCUCCGAGUGGGGAAUAACCUAGAGAAAUCUGGGCUAAUACCGCAUAACACUUACGAGUCAAAGCAGCAAUGCGCUUGGAGAGGAGUUCGCGGCAGAUUAGCUAGUUGGCGGGGUAAUGGCCCACCAAGGCGAUGAUCUGUAUCCGGCCUGAGAGGGCGCACGGACACACUGGAACUGAAACACGGUCCAGACUCCUACGGGAGGCAGCAGUGGGGGAAUUUUGCGCAAUGGGGGAAACCCUGACGCAGCAACGCCGCGUGGAGGAUGACGCCCCUUGGGGUGUAACUCCUUUCGAUCGGGAAGAUAAUGACGGUACCGAUAUAAGAAGCCCCGGCUAACUUCGCGCCAGCAGCCGC
rnacentral:rRNA from 1 species